UAUGUUGCUCGCCCGAAGGGCCAGGGUUACUGAGGUGGGGGCGGGGGUGGAGCCUUGGGUUUCCAUUCAGUUCCUUCUGCUCUCCUUCCCCUCCGUGGCCCCAAGCAGGGACCUCUCCUCCCUGGGGCUUGACCCAGUGGCUGGAGGGAGGGAGGGGCCUGUCUGAAUUCACCCUCUGCACUGCUGCACCUGGAGCUGCUGCUGCGCCCAGGGUUCUUGGGUGCACCGGUAAAGGCGAGCAGCUGGUGGGUCAGAGGGAGGAGGCAAAGGGAAAUGAAAUGCUCCAAGCCCUCUCAAGGCAGAGAUUGGCAUCUUCCAGCAUUGAAGAGGCACUGUUGGGCGGGUGAGGCCUUCGGGAGGAAACAAACGCGGUCCGGCCCUGCCACCUGUCCAGGGGCUUAGCCCAGAACCCCAGAAUCUGCUUUGAUGCCCCCGGGUCUGCAGGCAGACUUUGCUCUCGAAGGCACCUGAGUCUCACCUCCUUGGCCGUCAGCUUGGCACAAGUUACCCUGGCUGCUCCCCAGACUGUUCCCAUGGCCUGGCCCUGGCCGGGGACUCCCACUCUGCUUGCGGUCCUGAAGACAGCCAGAGAGGCCUUUGAGAGUGGAAGGCAGACACCAUAUGCCACCGCCCCCAGCUGACACUCAUAGGGGCUGCCCCUCAUGCUCUGGAUAAAACUCCGACUGGCUACUGUGCCUCUUUGGGUCUCCCCGGCCCAGGCCUGGCCAGGGGUUCCAGCCUUCACCAGGGGAAGGAGCAUCUGUGAGUCCAGGGAGUGUGCCUGGCCCAAUGCCUCUGCCCAGGGCCUUUGUGCCUGCCGUCCCCUCCCCAAUUCCACGCCUCCUGUUGCCCUCCGCAGAGGCACCUCUCCCGUGACCUCCAAGCACACCACCCACUAAAUCUCCGCCCUUCCUCUGCCUGCCUGCCCUCCCAGCACAGCCACUCUGUCCGCUCAGGCUCCUGAGCUGCUUACUUGUUCACCUGUCUUCUGCUGGAGACCAGGGAGCCCUCCCCUCGCUGGCUGUGGGGUCUGGGAACAAAGCAGUCUUAAUAAAUACUUCUCGAAAGAAUGGAGUAUGUGGUUGAAUAAAUAAGUCCCAGACAGGAGUUCCUUCUAAAAUGGUCUAGUUCAGGCUUCUCAGUUGCAGGUGGGGAAACUGAGGCCCUGAGCGGGCGGAGGUGGAGGGAAGUUGAGUGGCCCUGCCUGCAUCUCCCACCAGCGCUACCUCGCAUCCUCCUACAGCAUGCGAG
rnacentral:lncRNA from 1 species